rnacentral:lncRNA from 1 species
GGUCUAAAUAAGAUUGAGUUUGUCAUUUAAAAAUAGGAGCAAACUUAGACAAUAGUUGGUACAAUCCUAGUACAAAUGGUACAAAAACUAUUCCAUUAAACUAUUUAUUGGUUGAAGUGGAAGUACGAAUGCACAUUCACUCUUUAAUACGUGGUGGUUGUAUUUUGUGUUAUUGUUCACAGAUUUCAUCAGUUUUGUUUUUCUCUCCAAAUGGACAUUUCUAUUCUCUUUUGAUGGUUAAAACCCUUAAAAACCUAAAUAGCGACUUUUUUUGUAUUUUUUCAUUAUUUUGACCUAUUAUCUAUCAGUUUAGGGUUGAUUGACGACCACCUUCUUCUCCCCUUUCCUUCUCUUCCUUUCUUCUCAUUUUUCAUUUUCUUUCUCUCGUUUUUUUCUCUCAUUUUCUCCUAUUAUCGUCGAGUUGUCAUCGAUGCUAGUGCCAUUGUCACCUUCUCACCAUCUACAACUCCCUUCUCCCUCUCUCCUCAAAAUACCCUUACUCUUGUUCCUUAUUGCACUUUUCGCCUCCUAUUAUCGAGUUUUCGUCAAUGUUUGUGUCACCGACACCUUCAAAUUAAAUGGGUUUUCUUUCUUUUACAUUCG